rnacentral:rRNA from 1 species
AGAUUGAACGCUGGCGGCAGGCCUAACACAUGCAAGUCGAGCGGUAGAGAGGUGCUUGCACCUCUUGAGAGCGGCGGACGGGUGAGUAAUGCCUAGGAAUCUGCCUAGUGGUGGGGGAUAACGUUCGGAAACGGACGCUAAUACCGCAUACGUCCUACGGGAGAAAGCCGGGGGACCUUCGGGCCUCGCGCCAUUAGAUGAGCCUAGGUCGGAUUAGCUAGUUGGUGAGGUAAUGGCUCACCAAGGACGACGAUCCGUAAACUGGUCUGAGAGGAUGAUCAGUCACACUGGAACUGAGACACGGUCCAGGACUCCGUACGGGAGCAGCAGUGGGAAUAUUGGACAAGUGGGACAAAGGCCUAGGAUCCAGCCAGUAGCCGCGUGGUGGUGAAGG